AUAUGCACGUGUAUACAAUGUAACCACACACACACACACACACACACAGGGUGGACCGUUUUAAAUAAAGGGGCAAAUGCCACAGCAGACGUGCACACACAGUCCCCAGCCAGCCUCACGCAGGCGCCCCGGGAGACGUCCAGGUUCGUGCCGAAGCACCCUUUGUGUCGGCAGACGUGAUAGGAGGUCGGGUACCGUCUUCCCUGCAGAGACGGCGUCUCCUCCCCCCUGAGCGGCUCUGGCCGGUGCACAUGAGCGUGCAGGACGCAGGCAGAGGCUUGGAAAGCGUGGCUGCACGCUCGGGGCUCGGCUGCUUACCGCGGGCCGGGAGCCCCGAGGCCUCCGCGUAGCCAGCCGAGCCCCCUGGCGAACACGAGGCCGCCGGCAGGAGAAACAACGUGCCCCCGACGACCGCCAUCCUGAUUCGACUCACGUGAGGUUUGCCACCUUGAGGCUGAUUCCCGCGGAGGGGACCCUCCCAGCCUGGCCAAUCCCGGGGGCCCACCCGAGGUCACUGAAGGCAGCUCUGGGAGCAGACGCCGCUGUCCGGCUGUCCUGAGCCUGUAGCAGCCUCCCCGGCACCCCUCACCCCUUCUCCCCUCCCCCGUGCCGGCCCCACUCGGCAGCCCUCGACAUCGGGUGGGUUUUGUUUUUAAUUCCGGGAGGGCUGGGCUCGUAGGGCUCAGAGCAAAGUCUGGAGGCCAUCAAGCGGGCAAGAGACCCGGAGGAAGUGUGGACGCGCACGACGGAGGGCAAGCGGCCAGUCUGAAAAGGCUGCACGCCGUGUGGCCGACCAUCCACGGGACAUUCCGGAACAGGCAGGACGGCGGGACGGCUGAAAAUCUGGCUCGGGAGCCUGGAAAGAGCCUGAGGACAGGGAACGGGUUGAAUAGUGUCCCCCCAAAUCACGUCCACCUGGAGCCUGGGGUGGUGGCAAAGCUCUGAGCCCAGGAGUCCGUGCCCCGCGGCCGCUCACCAGCUCCGUGAUUUGGGCAAGUUUCAUGCUCUCCCUGGGCCUCAGUUUCCACAUCUGUACAAUGGAGGCGGCUGCUUCCCGGCCCGGCCAAGCUCUGCUCCUCUGCGGUGACAGAUGGGAAAGUGAGUGUUUUCCCCUGAGGUUGUUGGUGGACCUGACCUUCCGCCUUCCGGGCGCCGGAGGUCAGUCCUGAGCUCUGAGCAUCCCAGACACCCGCCGGCCACCAGCUGGAGGCGGCCAGCCCCCCUCCCCCCUCCGGAAACAACCCCAGGACCGCAAGUCUGGGAAGAACCCUCCUCCUGGCCCUGGGAAUGGCCCUGGGGACCAGGCCUGUCUGCUGGAGAAGACAGUGACCGGCCUAUAAACACUGACACGCACCCAGACGGAGCAACGUUCCCACAACACCUGCCCACACCGCUCGAACUCACACGAUGUGCACACAGGUGUGUGCGUGCACAUCCAUGCCUACAUGGCACACGCGCACACCCGCACACACGUGUGCACGCACACGAACACGGCUCCAAAGUAACUCUCGACCGUCGUACCCUCAGUACGUGUCUGUGUAGAGAAAGGCAGUCAUUAAAGGAAAAAUCAGCCCGAGUCCCGCCUCCGAGAGGCACAGUUUGGAGAAUCUGCUUCCAGACCCGGAUAGGAGGGACGAGUAGGCACAUACCCUUUCUGAUUUUUACAAAAAGGCAUCAUAAGGCCCUUCCGUGUAUAUUGUCGUCUCUUUCACCCCGGGGACACCCUCUUCACGAAGCAUGAAGCUUUCGUGCCCCGUGUGGCACACUUCUUUGAGCAACGGCCGUGUGGCCUCCGAGGUGAUCCCAGCGCUCGGCGGACUGAAAGGGCCGUGGGGAGAAACACCCACAGCUAAGCGCUAUGUGAAGCCUUCUUCCUCAGGAGAGGUCCUGGGAGCCCUGGAGCCCGGCGGCGAGCAGCUCUCUCUGCAGGGGAGUCUGUCCCUGUCUGUGCAUCUGGCUCUCCCCGCCCCACCCUGAAAGAGCGAGCCUAGGGCUGGGGUGAGCGGGCAGGGACCUUGCCCUGAAGCCUCACUCGGUUUGGUACGAGAGACCACGCGGCUGUCCUCGCACGGGGACACCCUGAAUCACUUCUGCUUGUCACCGGGCUGCAAAGGGCAGCUUUGCUGGAGAGCAGCCCCAGGGGGCCGCGUUCACGGAAACGUGGCCUUAUAACACCCUCCUUCCAGUGGACUCCGUGGCCGCAGUGAACACAGAACAAGGCUCUGGGCACCUGGCACGGUUGAGACCCUCCCGGUGCAACACCACCCAGGACACAGCUACGUGCCCGGGAGCAGGUGCCCAGGGAGGGCUGGGGAGGCUGGGCGUGGGUGAGAAACACUGGCAUCAGACCUACCCUGGGCACUAGCCUGCCCGGUGACCCCAGAAUGGGUGUUUCCCUGCCUGGGGUCCCGAGUACAACCGUGUGGGUGGAGGACAGGACCUUGAGCCGGGCCUUAAGGGACAGGGGCAGGUGCAUGUGUCGGUCGCCUGUUCCCUCUGUUGACCGAUUAUGUCCUUGACAUACAAGGGGUUUCGUUUUGACAGAGGCCUGUGCCCUUGGUGUCCUAUCCAAGAAACAGUCACCAAAUUCAACGUCAUGAAGCUUUUCUCUAAUUUUUCUCCCAAGAGUUUUAUUGUCUUAUUGUUACGUUUAGGUCUUUGAUCCACGUUGAGCGAAUGUUUGGAUACGGUGUGAGGUAGGGGUCCAGCCUCACUCUUUUGCAUAAGGAUGUAAAAAGGCUUGUUAAAUUUC